CCUACGGGUGGCAGCAGUAGGGAAUCUUCCACAAUGGGCGCAAGUCUGAUGGAGCAACGCCGCGUGGGUGAAGAAGGUCUUCGGAUCGUAAAACUCUGUUGUUAGAGAAGAAAGUGCGUGAGAGUAACUGUUCACGUUUCGACGGUAUCUAACCAGAAAGCCACGGCUAACUACGUGCCAGCAGCCGCGGUAAUACGUAGGUGGCAAGCGUUGUCCGGAUUUAUUGGGCGUAAAGGGAACGCAGGCGGUCUUUUAAGUCUGAUGUGAAAGCCUUCGGCUUAACCGGGGUAGUGCAUUUGAAACUGGGAGACUUGAGUGCAGAAGAGGAGAGUGGAAUUCAAUGUGUAGCGGUGAAAUGCGUAGAUAUAAGGAAGAACACCAGUGGCGAAGGCGGCUCUCUGGUCUGUAACUGACGCUGAGGUUCGAAAGCGUGGGUAGCAAACAGGAUUAGAUACCCUAGUAGUC
rnacentral:rRNA from 1 species